GAAAAUACAUUGUUAGCUUAACAUUAAAAUAAGUUUAUUAAAAUUAAAUUUAUAAAGAUAAUGUUAAAAUUUCGAGAAAAUUGUGGGCCUCCCAUCCGGAAAAGUAACACACUAUGGAAGAGAAUUGAAUGCCUGAAGACUCUGGGAGAACUCAAAUCUUAUACUGAGAGCUAGAUCUUUUCUAUCUAAAGAGACAUACUUCGAAGUGUAAUGUUAUAUUUUCAGUUCGGCAAGUCUCACAAAGAAUAGUUACUCAGGGAGUCAGUCGCCC